GUUUUAUCAUAUUUAUGGUUGUAUUUUACAAAAAAACAGAAAACUUUUGUUUGAUAAUUUUUUUUCCCAAUUUUGCCAAAUAAGGGGAGGCAAUUCAAAUGCAAGGGCAGAUAAUUCAGAUAAGGUACUUUUACACUGAUUGUGUGGAAUUUACCUAUUUUAAAAUGUAGCAAGAAAACGGGUCCGGUGACCCCAUUGUUCUAUUUUCUUAACUGAAAGCAUACUAUUAAAGCCAUCUUCUCAUAUGUUAUCUCAAAAUUCUAUGGUGUAGAUUAUGCUUUAUUGCAGAAAAUUGGGUUUUCCAUGCAUAAUCUUUACAAAAUUUGUCAAUUUUGAACACUGUGUAGCGUGAAAAUAAGCCUGGUGACCCAUUCUUUUUAUUAUUAUUUUUUAAAAAGCUCGAUAUAAGCUACAUUUUGGCAAAUUAUUAAAAAAUUCUAUGGAUAAUAAUUCAGACA
rnacentral:lncRNA from 1 species